rnacentral:lncRNA from 1 species
AUGGCCAGUCCCCACGGCCCCUCUGAGGUCUGCGCUCUUGUGUCCCUGGGGCUCCUUAUCCGUGCCCCAUGCCCAGUGACCCAGGACAUGUCUGUGGGCAGAGGAAGGGACAUCCUGGCCACCAGAGUCAGGCGUGCAGAGCCCUUCCAUGGCCUCUGCCCCUGGCUGGCCGGGGCCCCUCUCAGCAGUGGCCACCCCUGCCCGCCUCAGGCCCCUCACUGCUCAUCCCUCACUCAUCUAAGCAGCAUAGUGACCUCCAACCUGGAGCCCGCCCUCCCCCCUCCUCCAGGGGCUCCUCAGAGCACCAAGGCCAGCGCCAAUGCCCAGAACCCCCACCCAGUGACCCCACCGGCGGCAGCGCCGAUGCCCAGCGACCCCCACCCAGUGACCCCAACGAGGCCAGCGCCGACGCUCGGGCCAGACCCCGUGCGCUCCCGGAAGAGCAGAUCACAGCGGCCCCUCCCGCGCUCAGAGUGCCACCUGCCCGCCCUGGGCCUCCCGGCAGCGUCCCCGCUGCUGACAACAGGGUGGGUGCCCGUGUCCUGGCGCUGCCGUAACAGAUCACAAGUGGGUGCUUCAGAAAACAGUUCUGGAGGCCCCAGUCUGAAGGGACGUGGGGCCGGGCUGUGCUUCUCUGGAGGCCCAGAGAGAAGCCCCCCCAGCCCCGGUGUUCACCUGCUCCCCACAGCUGCCUCCGCGGGCACCUGGCCUGUUCCCCAUGUCGCCGUCCCCCCAUGCUGUUCUGUUCAUAAGGACGCCAGUCAUACCGGACGAGGGCCCACCUGCUCCCAGGUGACCUCGUCUGAACCGUCCGCAGCCACAGCGACCCUGUUUCCCCGGAAGGUGGCACCUGGGGAGCUGGUGGCGAGGACCCCGACCUGUCCCUUUGGGGCCACCGUUCAGCCCACUCCAGACUGUUCACUGGGGCUGCAGGGGUUCCCGGCCCCGGGUGCCAGCCCUGCCCAUGCCACCUCAUGGUCCGCUCAUCACAGUUGCGGACCCUGCCCCCCACUGGCGGCAGCACAGCUGGGUGUGGCUCAGUGA